rnacentral:misc_RNA from 1 species
AAGUCGUAACAAGGUUUCCGUAGGUGAACCUGCGGAAGGAUCAUUAACACGUUCAACAACGUUCGAUCAAUCGAUCAACCACACCCAACCGUUGCACACCCUUGUGUGAGCCCUCUAGGGGGAUCGACACUUGGCAGCACUCGGCAUGUACUGUCUGACGGUAUAUGUCUUCUAUCCAAUCUCCCUUUUUUCACCCCUUUUUUUCAAUUGACUCACCCUACCAACCCCAAGUGGCCUGAUCAAAUGUGUCAUUUGCCUUGGGUGACGGACAGACUUUCUGCCCGGCCCAAGGUGGACGGACCGAACCAUAUGGAUGUUUCCAAAUGAGUUAUAUCAAUACAACUCUUAGCAAUGGAUAUCUUGGUUCUC